UCUGGUUCUUUAGACCGGAUCAGCAGCUUAUCUGCCUGUGUUUGGACACCCCCCGAUGGCCUACCCGACCAUAACUGGCCUAAAAUUGGCCAGAUCUCAAUUGAGCAGGAUUGAUUUUUCUGUUGGAUCAGGGACCGCAUCAGCCCAUAUACUUGCCGAUUUAAUUCAACCAACAAACAAUCAAGAAACAAUCCGUGGUAUGAAAGUGUGUGUCACCCUGGAAAGCUGGAAGUGCAUUUACAAUUCAAUGACAUGUGAUAGAGAUCUUAGGAAAAAAUCCAAAUGGGAGCAUUUUAGCUUGGGGCAUUAAUUGUUACAGUGAGCAAUGAAAAGCUGGCAAGCAAUGUUGCCUAGGAGGUGUACACAACAUCUACGGCUUGGAAUAGCACUGGCGAUGGCUCUGCUUGUCACAAGCACUUGGAUACCGCUGCGGCCCCAGCAGUACAACUUGCUUCUGAGGAUCAUUAGGCUGACAAAAACGCAAAGUCCUAACAUCCAGCUAUAAAGGGAACAGAGAAAGUGCAGCAUGUGGGGCUGGAUAAUGCUGCUGUUUGAGCAAAUACAUUUGCUUGCCAUUCAAAUUAUGUCACAUGAAGAGAUGUGACCCAAGAGUACAGCUUAUUUUAAGGGACAACUUUCCUUUAAAACAGGAGUCCAAAAUGUACCGUUGUAAUUAUUCCUAUUUGAGAUGGAUGGGCAUUUGUAAUGAAAGGAAGUCGUUCCAACCAAAAACUGCUUAGGACUUACCAAAGAAACUUGCAUUAAUGAGGCAGGGACAGUCUAAAUACUCAAUGGCCUCAUUUUUAUAAGGCAAGGAAAAUAAUUGAAAGCAUGUGUUCUAAGCUCCCAUACGCCAUAUAAAAGAAAUCUAUUGUCCUCAAACCGAUAAUGCAAAAGUUUAUGAAAUUAACCUAAUUAAACAAGUCUUUACUUUUGAC